CUUAAUUCCACCAUUGAAAAUUGACAAAAAAAAAUGAAAUUUCUUUUUACGACGAAAGUCGGUAAAAAUGAAGAAAUUACGCUUACGUCCUAUUGUUCGAUUUGAUCGCUAGUACUUUUGUUUCAACAUUAAACAACCAAAAGGUUGUUCUAAUAACUAAAUUAAAGUGUAUUUUGAGUUCAAUUGACUUUUUGUGAACGAAUUACGACGAUUCGACUUUUCGGCCUGAUUUUUAGCUGCACAAAAAACUGUUUCCGAUCAGAUUUUUUUCGAUGUCAUAAUAAUCGUAUCGAAAUUCUGGUUCGUUUCAUAUAAUUGUUUUUAGAUAUCUUGAUUUCGGAGCACUCCCUCCAAUCCAUUCGGUUACUCAUAAUUGUACCGAAAAUCAAGUUAAACCCCUAAUCUUUUGAAUAUUUCAAUUACACUUCCAAAUAAAACUACACUUAAAACCAUAUGAAAUUAUCUUCAUUCCACCAUUGAAAAUUGACAAAAAAAAAAAAAGAAAUUUUUUUUUCGACCAAAGUCGGGAAAAAUGAAGAAAUUACGCUUACGUCCUAUUGUUCGAUUUGAUCGCUAGUACUUUUGUUUCAACAUUAAACAACCAAAAGGUUGUUCUAAUAACUAAAUUAAAGUGUAUUUUGAGUUCAAUUGACUUUUUGUGAACGAAUUACGACGAUUCGACUUUUCGGCCUGAUUUUUAGCUGCACAAAAAACUGUUUCCGAUCAGAUUUUUUUCGAUGUCAUAAUAAUCGUAUCGAAAUUCUGGUUCGUUUCAUAUAAUUGUUUUUAGAUAUCUUGAUUUCGGAGCACUCCCUCCAAUCCAUUCGGUUACUCAUAAUUGUACCGAAAAUCAAGUUAAACCCCUAAUCUUUUGAAUAUUUCAAUUACACUUCCAAAUAAAACUACACUUAAAACCAUAUGAAAUUAUCUUCAUUCCACCAUUGAAAAUUGACAAAAAAAAAAGAAAUUUUUUUUUCGACCAAAGUCGGGAAAAAUGAAGAAAUUACGCUUACGUCCUAUUGUUCGAUUUGAUCGCUAGUACUUUUGUUUCAACAUUAAACAACCAAAAGGUUGUUCUAAUAACUAAAUUAAAGUGUAUUUUGAGUUCAAUUGACUUUUUGUGAACGAAUUACGACGAUUCGACUUUUCGGCCUGAUUUUUAGCUGCACAAAAAACUGUUUCCGAUCAGAUUUUUUUCGAUGUCAUAAUAAUCGUAUCGAAAUUCUGGUUCGUUUCAUAUAAUUGUUUUUAGAUAUCUUGAUUUCGGAGCACUCCCUCCAAUCCAUUCGGUUACUCAUAAUUGUACCGAAAAUCAAGUUAAACCCCUAAUCUUUUGAAUAUUUCAAUUACACUUCCAAAUAAAACUACACUUAAAACCAUAUGAAAUUAUCUUCAUUCCACCAUUGAAAAUUGACAAAAAAAAAAAGAAAUUUCUUUUUUCGACCAAAGUCGGGAAAAAUGAAGAAAUUACGCUUACGUCCUAUUGUUCGAUUUGAUCGCUAGUACUUUUGUUUCAACAUUAAACAACCAAAAGGUUGUUCUAAUAACUAAAUUAAAGUGUAUUUUGAGUUCAAUUGACUUUUUGUGAACGAAUUACGACGAUUCGACUUUUCGGCCUGAUUUUUAGCUGCACAAAAAACUGUUUCCGAUCAGAUUUUUUUCGAUGUCAUAAUAAUCGUAUCGAAAUUCUGGUUCGUUUCAUAUAAUUGUUUUUAGAUAUCUUGAUUUCGGAGCACUCCCUCCAAUCCAUUCGGUUACUCAUAAUUGUACCGAAAAUCAAGUUAAACCCCUAAUCUUUUGAAUAUUUCAAUUACACUUCCAAAUAAAACUACACUUAAAACCAUAUGAAAUUAUCUUCAUUCCACCAUUGAAAAUUGAAAAAAAAAAAGAAAUUUCUUUUUUCGACCAAAGUCGGGAAAAAUGAAGAAAUUACGCUUACGUCCUAUUGUUCGAUUUGAUCGCUAGUACUUUUGUUUCAACAUUAAACAACCAAAAGGUUGUUCUAAUAACUAAAUUAAAGUGUAUUUUGAGUUCAAUUGACUUUUUGUGAACGAAUUACGACGAUUCGACUUUUCGGCCUGAUUUUUAGCUGCACAAAAAACUGUUUCCGAUCAGAUUUUUUUCGAUGUCAUAAUAAUCGUAUCGAAAUUCUGGUUCGUUUCAUAUAAUUUUUUUUAGAUAUCUUGAUUUCGGAGCACUCCCUCCAAUCCAUUCGGUUACUCAUAAUUGUACCGAAAAUCAAGUUAAACCCCUAAUCUUUUGAAUAUUUCAAUUACACUUCCAAAUAAAACUACACUUAAAACCAUAUGAAAUUAUCUUCAUUCCACCAUUGAAAAUUGAAAAAAAAAAAAGAAAUUUUUUUUUCGACCAAAGUCGGGAAAAAUGAAGAAAUUACGCUUACGUCCUAUUGUUCGAUUUGAUCGCUAGUACUUUUGUUUCAACAUUAAACAACCAAAAGGUUGUUCUAAUAACUAAAUUAAAGUGUAUUUUGAGUUCAAUUGACUUUUUGUGAACGAAUUACGACGAUUCGACUUUUCGGCCUGAUUUUUAGCUGCACAAAAAACUGUUUCCGAUCAGAUUUUUUUCGAUGUCAUAAUAAUCGUAUCGAAAUUCUGGUUCGUUUCAUAUAAUUUUUUUUAGAUAUCUUGAUUUCGGAGCACUCCCUCCAAUCCAUUCGGUUACUCAUAAUUGUACCGAAAAUCAAGUUAAACCCCUAAUCUUUUGAAUAUUUCAAUUACACUUCCAAAUAAAACUACACUUAAAACCAUAUGAAAUUAUCUUCAUUCCACCAUUGAAAAUUGACAAAAAAAAAAAGAAAUUUUUUUUUCGACCAAAGUCGGGAAAAAUGAAGAAAUUACGCUUACGUCCUAUUGUUCGAUUUGAUCGCUAGUACUUUUGUUUCAACAUUAAACAACCAAAAGGUUGUUCUAAUAACUAAAUUAAAGUGUAUUUUGAGUUCAAUUGACUUUUUGUGAACGAAUUACGACGAUUCGACUUUUCGGCCUGAUUUUUAGCUGCACAAAAAACUGUUUCCGAUCAGAUUUUUUUCGAUGUCAUAAUAAUCGUAUCGAAAUUCUGGUUCGUUUCAUAUAAUUGUUUUUAGAUAUCUUGAUUUCGGAGCACUCCCUCCAAUCCAUUCGGUUACUCAUAAUUGUACCGAAAAUCAAGUUAAACCCCUAAUCUUUUGAAUAUUUCAAUUACACUUCCAAAUAAAACUACACUUAAAACCAUAUGAAAUUAUCUUCAUUCCACCAUUGAAAAUUGAAAAAAAAAAAGAAAUUUCUUUUUUCGACCAAAGUCGGGAAAAAUGAAGAAAUUACGCUUACGUCCUAUUGUUCGAUUUGAUCGCUAGUACUUUUGUUUCAACAUUAAACAACCAAAAGGUUGUUCUAAUAACUAAAUUAAAGUGUAUUUUGAGUUCAAUUGACUUUUUGUGAACGAAUUACGACGAUUCGACUUUUCGGCCUGAUUUUUAGCUGCACAAAAAACUGUUUCCGAUCAGAUUUUUUUCGAUGUCAUAAUAAUCGUAUCGAAAUUCUGGUUCGUUUCAUAUAAUUGUUUUUAGAUAUCUUGAUUUCGGAGCACUCCCUCCAAUCCAUUCGGUUACUCAUAAUUGUACCGAAAAUCAAGUUAAACCCCUAAUCUUUUGAAUAUUUCAAUUACACUUCCAAAUAAAACUACACUUAAAACCAUAUGAAAUUAUCUUCAUUCCACCAUUGAAAAUUGACAAAAAAAAAAAGAAAUUUCUUUUUUCGACCAAAGUCGGAAAAAUGAAGAAAUUACGCUUACGUCCUAUUGUUCGAUUUGAUCGCUAGUACUUUUGUUUCAACAUUAAACAACCAAAAGGUUGUUCUAAUAACUAAAUUAAAGUGUAUUUUGAGUUCAAUUGACUUUUUGUGAACGAAUUACGACGAUUCGACUUUUCGGCCUGAUUUUUAGCUGCACAAAAAACUGUUUCCGAUCAGAUUUUUUUCGAUGUCAUAAUAAUCGUAUCGAAAUUCUGGUUCGUUUCAUAUAAUUGUUUUUAGAUAUCUUGAUUUCGGAGCACUCCCUCCAAUCCAUUCGGUUACUCAUAAUUGUACCGAAAAUCAAGUUAAACCCCUAAUCUUUUGAAUAUUUCAAUUACACUUCCAAAUAAAACUACACUUAAAACCAUAUGAAAUUAUCUUCAUUCCACCAUUGAAAAUUGACAAAAAAAAAAAGAAAUUUCUUUUUUCGACCAAAGUCGGGAAAAAUGAAGAAAUUACGCUUACGUCCUAUUGUUCGAUUUGAUCGCUAGUACUUUUGUUUCAACAUUAAACAACCAAAAGGUUGUUCUAAUAACUAAAUUAAAGUGUAUUUUGAGUUCAAUUGACUUUUUGUGAACGAAUUACGACGAUUCGACUUUUCGGCCUGAUUUUUAGCUGCACAAAAAACUGUUUCCGAUCAGAUUUUUUUCGAUGUCAUAAUAAUCGUAUCGAAAUUCUGGUUCGUUUCAUAUAAUUGUUUUUAGAUAUCUUGAUUUCGGAGCACUCCCUCCAAUCCAUUCGGUUACUCAUAAUUGUACCGAAAAUCAAGUUAAACCCCUAAUCUUUUGAAUAUUUCAAUUACACUUCCAAAUAAAACUACACUUAAAACCAUAUGAAAUUAUCUUCAUUCCACCAUUGAAAAUUGAGAAAAAAAAAAAGAAAUUUCUUUUUUCGACCAAAGUCGGGAAAAAUGAAGAAAUUACGCUUACGUCCUAUUGUUCGAUUUGAUCGCUAGUACUUUUGUUUCAACAUUAAACAACCAAAAGGUUGUUCUAAUAACUAAAUUAAAGUGUAUUUUGAGUUCAAUUGACUUUUUGUGAACGAAUUACGACGAUUCGACUUUUCGGCCUGAUUUUUAGCUGCACAAAAAACUGUUUCCGAUCAGAUUUUUUUCGAUGUCAUAAUAAUCGUAUCGAAAUUCUGGUUCGUUUCAUAUAAUUGUUUUUAGAUAUCUUGAUUUCGGAGCACUCCCUCCAAUCCAUUCGGUUACUCAUAAUUGUACCGAAAAUCAAGUUAAACCCCUAAUCUUUUGAAUAUUUCAAUUACACUUCCAAAUAAAACUACACUUAAAACCAUAUGAAAUUAUCUUCAUUCCACCAUUGAAAAUUGACAAAAAAAAAAGAAAUUUCUUUUUUCGACCAAAGUCGGGAAAAAUGAAGAAAUUACGCUUACGUCCUAUUGUUCGAUUUGAUCGCUAGUACUUUUGUUUCAACAUUAAACAACCAAAAGGUUGUUCUAAUAACUAAAUUAAAGUGUAUUUUGAGUUCAAUUGACUUUUUGUGAACGAAUUACGACGAUUCGACUUUUCGGCCUGAUUUUUAGCUGCACAAAAAACUGUUUCCGAUCAGAUUUUUUUCGAUGUCAUAAUAAUCGUAUCGAAAUUCUGGUUCGUUUCAUAUAAUUUUUUUUAGAUAUCUUGAUUUCGGAGCACUCCCUCCAAUCCAUUCGGUUACUCAUAAUUGUACCGAAAAUCAAGUUAAACCCCUAAUCUUUUGAAUAUUUCAAUUACACUUCCAAAUAAAACUACACUUAAAACCAUAUGAAAUUAUCUUCAUUCCACCAUUGAAAAUUGACAAAAAAAAAGAAAUUUCUUUUUUCGACCAAAGUCGGGAAAAAUGAAGAAAUUACGCUUACGUCCUAUUGUUCGAUUUGAUCGCUAGUACUUUUGUUUCAACAUUAAACAACCAAAAGGUUGUUCUAAUAACUAAAUUAAAGUGUAUUUUGAGUUCAAUUGACUUUUUGUGAACGAAUUACGACGAUUCGUCUUUUCGGCCUGAUUUUUAGCUGCACAAAAAACUGUUUCCGAUCAGAUUUUUUUCGAUGUCAUAAUAAUCGUAUCGAAAUUCUGGUUCGUUUCAUAUAAUUGUUUUUAGAUAUCUUGAUUUCGGAGCACUCCCUCCAAUCCAUUCGGUUACUCAUAAUUGUACCGAAAAUCAAGUUAAACCCCUAAUCUUUUGAAUAUUUCAAUUACACUUCCAAAUAAAACUACACUUAAAACCAUAUGAAAUUAUCUUCAUUCCACCAUUGAAAAUUGACAAAAAAAAAAAAGAAAUUUCUUUUUUCGACCAAAGUCGGGAAAAAUGAAGAAAUUACGCUUACGUCCUAUUGUUCGAUUUGAUCGCUAGUACUUUUGUUUCAACAUUAAACAACCAAAAGGUUGUUCUAAUAACUAAAUUAAAGUGUAUUUUGAGUUCAAUUGACUUUUUGUGAACGAAUUACGACGAUUCGUCUUUUCGGCCUGAUUUUUAGCUGCACAAAAAACUGUUUCCGAUCAGAUUUUUUUCGAUGUCAUAAUAAUCGUAUCGAAAUUCUGGUUCGUUUCAUAUAAUUGUUUUUAGAUAUCUUGAUUUCGGAGCACUCCCUCCAAUCCAUUCGGUUACUCAUAAUUGUACCGAAAAUCAAGUUAAACCCCUAAUCUUUUGAAUAUUUCAAUUACACUUCCAAAUAAAACUACACUUAAAACCAUAUGAAAUUAUCUUCAUUC